CACAGGCCACUCACCAUGGACUUAGGGCUUAUAAUGGUUUUCUCUGUCCUGAUUUUAAAAGGUGUUCAGUGUGAGGUGCAGUUGCUGGAAUCUGGGGGAGGCUUAGUGCAGCCUGGAAAGUUCCUGAAACUCUCCUGUGCAGCCUCUGGAUUCACCUUCAGUGAUUAUUACAUGCACUGGGUCCGCCAGGCUCCAGGGAAAGGACUGGAGUGGGUCGCAUACAUUAGUAGUAGUAGUAGCGACAUCUACUAUGCCGACGCUGUGAAGGGCCGAUUCACAAUCUCCAGAGACAAUGCCAAGAACACUCUGUACCUGGAAAUGAGCAAUCUGAAGUCUGAGGACACAGCCAUGUAUUACUGUGCAAGAGGCACAGUGAGUGAAAGGUGUUGUGAGCUCAGACAAAAACACUGCUUUGGGGAACACAGGACCAGCAGGGGGCGCUGA